rnacentral:rRNA from 1 species
ACAGAGGUCUCAAGCGUUGUUCGGAUUCAUUGGGCGUAAAGGGUGCGUAGGUGGCGAGGUUAGUCAGGUGUGAAAUCUCGGGGCUCAACCCCGAAACUGCACUUGAUACUGCCUUGCUAGAGUACUGGAGAGGAGAUUGGAAUUUACGGUGUAGCAGUGAAAUGCGUAGAUAUCGUAAGGAAGACCAGUGGCGAAGGCGAAUCUCUGGACAGUUACUGACACUGAGGCACGAAGGCCAGGGGAGCAAACGGGAUUAGAUACCCCGGUAGUCCUGGCAGUAAACGGUGCGCGUUUGGUGUGGGAGGAUUCGACCCCUUCUGUGCCGGAGCUAACGCGUUAAACGCGCCGCCUGGGGAGUACGGUCGCAAGAUUA